rnacentral:rRNA from 1 species
AGCCUGCCCUGUACUCUGGGAUAAGCCUGGGAAACUAGGUCUAAUACCGGAUACGACCUGUCACCGCAUGGUGGUGGGUGGAAAGUUCCGGCGGUAUGGGAUGGACCCGCGGCCUAUCAGCUUGUUGGUGGGGUAAUGGCCUACCAAGGCGACGACGGGUAGCCGGCCUGAGAGGGUGACCGGCCACACUGGGACUGAGACACGGCCCAGACUCCUACGGGAGGCAGCAGUGGGGAAUAUUGCACAAUGGGCGAAAGCCUGAUGCAGCGACGCCGCGUGAGGGAUGACGGCCUUCGGGUUGUAAACCUCUUUCAGCAGGGACGAAGCGCAAGUGACGGUACCUGCAGAAGAAUCACCGUUUUUUCUACGUGCCAGCAGCCGCGGUAAUACGUAGGGUGCGAGCGUUGUCCGGAAUUAUUGGGCGUAAAGAGCUCGUAGGCGGUUUGUUGCGUCGGCUGUGAAAACUUCACGCUUAACGUGGAGCCUGCAGUCGAUACGGGCAGACUUGAGUUCGGCAGGGGAGACUGGAAUUCCUGGUGUAGCGGUGAAAUGCGCAGAUAUCAGGAGGAACACCGGUGGCGAAGGCGGGUCUCUGGGCCGAUACUGAC